rnacentral:lncRNA from 1 species
GAAGAUGACGGGAGAAAGAUUCAGAAGCAGCAAUUAAAUUAAAUUCAACAUGCAUCCACUGAGCACUUCUUGUUUCCCUAGAACUCUACAGAGACCCCAAGAGAUAUUUACCAGGAAGGUGGAACUCACAUUUCUUCCAAUUUAAGUGCAGCUACACUCAUCUACCUGCCACUUCUUGAAACCGGAACCCAGGAGAUCAGAACGUAACUGGAAAGCGUGAAGUGGGACAAUCUGAAAGCAUCCAGAUUCAAUUGUGCGUGAAGGCAAAGAAAAUAACAGCAUGCCCUUUUAAAAUAU